ACAACGACAACAUGGAGACGCAAACGGAUAAACGAAAACUGUAUCAACAGUAGCUAACGCAUUCGCUGUCCGAUAUCGGCUACUUGCAACGACAAACCGAUUUGAAUGUGUUGGUGUGAGAAUUUAUUUGACUGUGACAUUCCAACCCAACAAGUCGGCAACAAGUCACAUCGUGUCGAACCAUCACCAGUGUAAGAACUAAAAUUGCUGCGCAUAAAUUUUCAUUUUACAUCGAAAGUGAAAUAUUCUGUCGAAUUGGAUUUUUGUCGGUUUUUCCAGAAAAAGUAUUCGGAACAACAAAUGGGAAUCGUUCACAAACCGACCACAAACGAUGUCAGAACCUGGAAAAUAUGAAUACAAAGGAUCGUUUCUUAGUUUGCCCCAACUACGAACCGGUCCACAAUCGUAUUAUUUCCGGCAACCAUACAAACACACCGAGCAAUAGACCAAUACCAUAAAUCGGUGAAUAUGAAUACAAAGGAUCGGUAAAUGUGUUUUUUUCGGAAUUGCAUUUUCUUUAUUGUGAAAUGAAUUUUAAUUCUAUCGUAUCGGAUUUGUAUCGAUCAGUUUUCUAGUUUGCCCCAACUAUGAACCGGUCCGCUAUCGUGUUCUUUUCGGCAACCAUACAAACACACCGAGCAAUAGACCAAUACCAUAAAUCGGUGAAUAUGAAUACAAAGGAUCGUUUUCUAGUUUGCCCCAACUAUGAGCCGGUCCACAAUCGUAUUCUUCCCCGGUACAAAUAAAAUGAAUAUCCUCCUCGGCCGUCUCCCGUAGUUUACUCCGUCUACGAGUAAUUUACGUGUGUGAGUAGUGGCCUUGGCACCAAGUGCUAUUCUAUAGCAAUUCCACAUGUUCCAUUCCCCGACCUGUUAUUUUAUUUGCAAUAUACGAACACGGGAUGAGCACAUUUUGAAUGUGACAAGUAUUAUUAAGAAUAAUCCAGACUUGGAGGGAAUUGCGAUAGUACCAUGUAAGGACAAAGCUUUCGUUUAUAAGAAAGAUCCCUUUCGAUAUACAGGGCUUAUGCAGUUUAAAUAGAGUCAAUUGGAGAUGAAUGGCUUUAAAACAAUUGCGGUCAGGAUUUCAAAAUGGAAAAAAAUGUUUCUAUUUUAGUUGAAACUAUUAUUCAAUCCAGAAGAAGAAGAUUUUAAAAAAAUCAAAGAUGAACCUUGUUUCGUGAAUAUACCGAUUUGACGUUUAUAGCGUGUGAUGAAAAAAUUCGCUAACUGUGGUGAAAUACAAGAAAAAUAUUAGAUAUUUUUUACUGAAACUUAACUCAAUUUACCGUUUUUUAUCUGUUUUUUCACAAACCGCCAAAGAUAAGCUAAAGAUAAUAUGAAUAUUUUUGUUUCUAAAAUCAUCUAUUGUUAUGUUCUCUAAUUCUCAACUCUUAAAUGUUGACAUUUGAUUUACAUUCCAGUGUAAGUUGGAGAUUCUAGGUAUCUAAGGUAUUUUUGCAUACUGAUUCCGAAUUUCGGGGUUUCAGGUUAAAAAAAAAUCACAUCUUGGAGGGCAGUGUUCCUAAAAAGAUUCUCUUGUCAUUCUGAACAACUUUGUACUGCAAUGUAGAUAAGAUAAAAGAUAGUAUCUAUCUUGAUAUCUCAAUCGAGAUAAGGCUGAAGAUUUUGUAAUCAAAUUUUAAAAAAAUAAUAAACAAUAACCAAAAUACGGUCAUUCUGAGACGAAA